GGGGAAUUCGGUACAGGUAGCCAUGUCAGUCCAACGGUUCCUAGCAGAGUCUUGCUUCUUUGCUGACGAGUGGGGGACGGGUGAGUAAUGUCUGGGAAACUGCCUGAUGGAGGGGGAUAACUACUGGAAACGGUAGCUAAUACCGCAUAGCGUCGCAAGACCAAAAGGGGGACCUUCGGGCCUCUUGCCAUCGGAUGUGCCCAGAUGGGAUUAGCUAGUAGGUGGGGUAACGGCUCACCUAGGCGACGAUCCCUAGCUGGUCUGAGAGGAUGACCAGCCACACUGGAACUGAGACACGGUCCAGACUCCUACGGGAGGCAGCAGUGGGGAAUAUUGCACAAUGGGCGCAAGCCUGAUGGAGCGACGCCGCGUGGGGGAUGAAUGGCUUCGGCCCGUAAACCCCUGUCAUUUGCGAACAAACCUUGCUAUUUAAAAGAUGGCGAGCUGAUUGUGGCGAAAGAGGAAGGGACGGCUAACUCUGUGCCAGCAGCCGCGGUAAUACAGAGGUCCCAAGCGUUGUUCGGAUUCAUUGGGCGUAAAGGGUGCGUAGGUGGCGCCGUAAGUCGGGUGUGAAAUUUCGAGGCUUAACCUCGAAACUGCAUUCGAUACUGCGGUGCUUGAGGACUGGAGAGGAGACUGGAAUUCAUGGUGUAGCAGUGAAAUGCGUAGAGAUCAUGAGGAAGACCAGUGGCGAAGGCGGGUCUCUGGACAGUUCCUGACACUGAGGCACGAAGGCCAGGGGAGCAAACGGGAUUAGAUACCCCGGUAGUCCUGGCAGUAAACGGUGCACGUUUGGUGUGGGAGGAUUCGACCCCUUCUGCGCCGGAGCUAACGCGUUAAACGUGCCGCCUGGGGAGUACGGUCGCAAGAUUAAAACUCAAAGAAAUUGACGGGGGCCUGCACAAGCGGUGGAGCAUGUGGUUUAAUUCGAAGCGACGCGCAGAACCUUACCAGCGUUUGACAUGCCAGGACGGUUUCCAGAGAUGGAUUCCUUCCCUUACGGGACCUGGACACAGUGCUGCAUGGCUGUCGUCAGCUCGUGUCGUGAGAUGUUGGUUUAAGUCCCGCACGGAGCGCAACCCUUGUCCUUAGUUGCCAGCAACGUAAUG
rnacentral:rRNA from 1 species